UGGGGAAUAUUGCACAAUGGGGGAAACCCUGAUGCAGCUACGCCGCGUGAACUAAGAAGGUAUUCGUAUCGUUAAGUUCUGUCCUAUGGGAAGAUAAUGACAGUACCAUAGAAGAAAGCUCCGGCUAAAUACGUGCCAGCAGCCGCGGUAAUACGUAUGGAGCGAGCGUUGUCCGGAAUUAUUGGGCGUAAAGGGUACGCAGGCGGUUUAAUAAGUCGAAUGUUAAAGAUCGGGGCUCAACCCCGCAAAGCAUUGGAAACUGAUAAACUUGAGUAGUGGAGAGGAAAGUGGAAUUCCUAGUGUAGUGGUGAAAUACGUAGAUAUUAGGAGGAAUACCAGUAGCGAAGGCGACUUUCUGGACACAAACUGACGCUGAGGUACGAAAGCGUGGGGAGCAAACAGG
rnacentral:rRNA from 1 species